CACCAACACAAUGCCAUGGUAUUUAGUUGGCAUUAUGGAUGUGACAGUUUUGCGUGGAAUUGCCCUAUACAAGUUACAGACUUUCAAAGUUAAACAUAUCAAAUAUAAUUUCAUAUAGGCUACUAACAAUCAGACCUGAAGACUUCAUGAAACACUACCAAAAUAAAGUUGAAACUAAUUCUACAAAAGGCACUCCAAGGAAAAGCCUUUUUGGCUGCAUUGGCCAACAUGUUUCGACCAACAGCCUGUCACUAUGAAACUCUGUAACUAGAUUUAAACUUCCCUCUGUAUGGAAAAAAAGAUAUAUUAUUCAACAUUAGUUAACACACUGAGAAUGAUUGCUGCACUAUAUGUAUUGUUCUCUAGCAACCUGAAGGUCCAAGACUCAAUCCACUGAAGGCUCUCCGUAAGAUGGUGGAUCUGAUGUCUGCUUUGUGGUCCUAUAGGACGACGCCAUGGAUUGGGGUCAGAGAUGCGCCUGAGAAGUGCUGUAAAUGCUGGCCAUAUGACUUCAACCUUCAUCCAACCAAACGAAGAGAUCCUGCUUUCCUACACUCCAUUCAGGAUGUUAGUUAAUUCAAAGACAAUAACAGUAUUUAGUUUUGUAAAUGCUUAACUACCACUCAAUGCAGGACACAUCUACUGGCAGUUGAUGGAGGGGUUUAGGGCAGUUGUGCUAUUCUUUUCCUUGUGGGUAGACUGCAGAAUGUGGCUAUGUAUGCAGGUGUUAAAUUGUGGGAUUUGUUGAAAAUGUGAAUUUCAAAUAAAACCCUACCAUUCAAA